GUCAAAUCAAAUUCAAAUUUACAUAUUUUUCAAAAAUUCAAAAUAACUUAAAAAAGGCAACGUACAUGUUACUAUUAAUUAUAAGUAAAGUUUACAUUUAUUUUAUAACUUGUCUUAGUUUUGUUUCUAUUGAAAACAGACUCGUUCAUUGGAAAAUUCUUUGACUUCAUUUUAUUUCUGUCUUUGCAUCUAGCAGAAGUGCACCUCUGCAUCUUUGCACUUCUGUUUAAAUUGGAAUUUAAAAAAUACAUUUAUCACCAAUGUGAAUGGGACAAGAAAAUAUUUUUGGAAGAAGGAAAACCUGCAAAAAGCGACAUGGAAAGUUUCAUUGAAUAUCUUCAGUUUGUUAAAAAAUCUCUGGAGAAUCUAGAUAGCUUUGGGGAAAUUCACAUUGUACUUGGAAAUGAAUCCUGUGAUAUAGACUCCAGUGUUUCAGCUACAGCUUUAGCAUAUCUUUUACAUAUCAGUAGACCUAAGCAUAUUUCCAAAGAAGCACUGGUAGUUGCUGUACAAAAUGUUCCAGCUGAAAACUUUUUAUUUAGAACAGAUAACUGUUUUUUGUAUAGAGAAAUUCAGCUACCUCUGGAUUAUUUAGUAUGUAGGGAUCAGAUAGACUUUGAUUAUUUAGUGAAAUCAAAAAAAGUGACUACUACUCUUGUAGAUCAUCAUGUGGUACCUAAAAAUUAUAAAAUUUUGGAAAAAACAGUAGUUCAAAUUUAUGAUCAUAGACCUAUAGAUGCUGCCUUUGACUUGGAUACAAAAGAAGUUGAAAUAAACAUAGAAGGAGUUGGAUCAUGUGCAACUCUAAUAGCUAAUGCUAUAUUUAGUGGAUGUGAAGAUGUUUUGUUUAAAGAAUUAGGAUAUUUACUAUAUGCUACUAUACUAUUUGACACCCAGGGAUUAAGUCCAGACACCAAAAGAGCAAAAGAACUAGAUUUUCAGAUAGUCGAAAAGCUGGAACACAAGUUCAACUUCACUGAAGAUCGAAUAGCAGUUUAUGACAGAAUAUGGAAUGCUCAUAACGACAUAUCAACUUUAAACCCCAAACAAAUCCUAGUAAAAGAUCUGAAGAUGGUAGAACACAUUCCAGUACCAGGUCUGCCUAUGUUAGUCGAAGAUUUCCUGAAAAUUCAAGGAUCUUAUGAAGCUGUAAGAAAAUUUGCAGAAGAAAGAGAUACUCCACUUCUAAUUUUAGUUGGAAUUGAUUGUUUAAAUGGUAUCAGAAGGGACGUAGCUCUUUUUUCUAGGAAUGAAGAUGACCCAAUUAGAAACAGAGUUUUAAAUUUACUAUGCAACUGUCAGCAUAAAGGCUACGAUUUUGAAUUUAAAGAGGUUGAUGUUAGUUGUGAAAGUGUUAAGUGCUUUAGACAAGGGAAUUUAACUUUGUCGAGGAAGCAGAUCAUUCCAGUUAUUAUAGAUGCCUUAAAGCUAUCCUGAAUCAUCUUCAGAGGCAUCACAGCUCUUUAUGAGCUAAAGCCUUCUUCAGAAUAAUCCUCCAUCCGCCCCUGUCUCUGGCAACUCUUCUCCAUGCUCUAAUUCCAAUCGAUUUUAAAUCAUUCUCUAGGUCAGGUUGUCUAGGUACCUAAGUCUCAGUCUUCUUCUUGCUCGUUGUCUUAUCGGCCCUCUUCGAUCCAAAACUUUUCUGACUAUGACAUCUUCCUCUCACCUGAUUACAUGCCCUAUCCAUCUAAGGCGUGCUACCUUAUUGAAUUUUACAACGUCAGGUUCUCCCAAACUUCUGACUAUGGCAUCUGCUUCCUCUCGCCUGAUUACAUCCCUAUCCAUCUAAGGCAUGUUACCUUAAUGAAUUUUACAACGUCAGGUUCUCCCAAACUUCUAUACAACUCAUGUAACGCCUGCGCCACAAAGCUUGUUCUUUUAUCUCUAUAUAUUUUUCUUAGGAUUUUUCGCUCGAAACGUUUAAGCAGUUCUUGGUCAUUCUGUGUAAGUGGCCAAAUUUCUUAAUCGUAUGUUAGCACUGGUAAUUGUUAUUCAACAUUAUUAAUGGUAAUAGGAGCUGUCUCGAUCUUCUGUCAAAAAUUAGUCUUUUGGUUCCUACUCGCUCAACAAGACAAACUCAAACUUUUCACAUAAGCUUCCAUAGAUAUAACUAUACUUACAACAAUUUUUUACCACAAACACUUAGACUUGCGAAUUCUCUAAUGCCCGAUUUCACCAACGAUACCUAAAUAUUUAAGAAUUACCUAAGUGGGUUUAAGUACUUCCUAACUCUAAAACCGAUUUCACCAUACGAUAAGAAUUGCCUAAACCGCUUAAGCAUUACCUUACGUUAGGAUACGGAUUUCGAUCUCCCUAAACUUUAGGUAUUACUUAUCGUUGACAGUCAGGUUAUAUUUUUACAAUUUUGACUAAUGUACUUGUGACGUUUGUCAAUAAUUUGCAUCUUACCUUAAUUUUUCUGUUAUUCUGUAAUAUUAGGUAUACUAGUUGUAAUUUUGUAUUUUCUUUUAUAUUAUUAAUAUAAUAUGUGUUGGAAAAUAUAGAAAAUAUACAAAAUCCUUUAAAGUUUUUUACAGGUCUGUUGACAAAAUUAUGUAGUCUACCUACUAUCUAACAAGCUAGUGUUGUGUUUCAAAAACUCAUUCACGAUAUAACUAUAAAGUGUGUCAUUAAAAAAUUAAUAAUAAAAAGCAAUUUUCAACAUAUUAUUUAUUUUAAAAUUAUUUCAUUAAUUAAAAAUUCAACUAACUUCAAUUUUUCGUCAUAAUAUGUAAAAUUUACAACUCUUUUCUUUUCCUCCAUUUUACUGUACAUAUUAUACAAAUAACACACAAGACUAUAUUUAUUAUAUACAAACUUAAUGCACAAAUAACUAACUACCUACUAAAUAAAAUAACUACUACAACAGUAGAAAACUGAAUAAAGCCAAAUUGGCAAACAAUAAUGACAAAUAAUCGAAAAAGUAAGAAAAUGUCAUCUUAUUCUUCUUUUUAUUUAUCAAAAAUAGUUCAAACGUACCCUAGAUAUUUCCUAGGAAAAGCAUUUCCUAGAUACGCAGUUGUUUUAGUUGUGAAAUGCGAUUGUUCCUAAGUAUUGACUUAAGAAGUUCCUAUCGAUAAGAAUGACUUAAUAAGGCAACUGUUUAGGUAUCGUUGGUGAAAUCGGGCAUUAAUGACUUAAGGUGAAACCGUAGCGAUCAACAGGAUUUCGCUAAUAAGUGUGAUCACUCAGUUUGUCAUUAAAGACUAUUUACUAGGUGAUUUUUUACCGUGCAAACAAUUAUGGAUCUUGAAAAUACAGGUAAGAUCACAUAUUAAUAUGUGUAAUUUUAUACUAUAUUUAUAGAAUGCGGUUUAUAAACAGCGUAUUGAACUUUAUCAUUUUUUUGCUUAAAAUUUGAUUUAUUUUUAAAAUUCUCAAAGAAAUUAGUUAUACUUCAGGGUGCUUCCCGGUCAUAUUUUUUAUUGAGAUUAAUUUUAUAGACCUCUUGAAAUGUGAUGGUAAAUAAAUCACCUGCUAUUUUUUGCUCUUUUUCGUUAUAUUUACAUUUUAAUUGAGGUAGUCGUAAGAACCGAAUUGCACAAACGUUUUUUUUUUCAUCUCUAACACAAUUUUUUUUUUGUUUUAGACGUGCCACGUGGUUCAAACUACAGAGUAGUUUCUAGAAAAAAAUUACAGUGGGACCUCGAUUAUCCGUCAGGGCAUCGGACCAAGGGUAUGACGGAUAAUCGAAAAGACGGUUAACAGAACAUUAAAAAAAUUAAAAGCUCAUAGUACAACUCUCAAAUUUUAUUUGUAUGUUUUGUUUGACAAUAUAAGGAUUCGUGUACGUACAGUCGAAUCACUUUGGUUUAAAAUAUUCUAAAAUCUUUGUUUGUUUUCUUCUUCUUCUUUCUUCUUCUUGUUGAGAAUACCAUUUCAUGAAUUAUUGCAGGUGCAAUGCAGCUUCUCUAGCUUCUUUACUCAAACCUAGCUUCUUAUCUAGCUUCUUCAAACCUUUGUCGGUUACAAUAGCAUUAUCGACAUCGCCUCCGUCAAAUUCCAAGUCUGUGUCAGCUUCUUAAUCUGUUUCGUCCGACUCUGUUGCCAUUUCAACGAUUUCAUCAUUUAUCUCAGCAAUCGAUAGCCGUUUGCAACCUCAUCACAAAUUAUAACCAAUAGUUUGGCUUAUCGCAAUGCUCAUACAAAAUGAAUUGAUGCCUCAAUUUUUGCUUAUGUAGUCAAUAAAAAUGUACGGACCCUGACGGUUAACAGAGGUGACGGUUAAUGGAGAGACGGAUAAUCGAGGUUCCACUGUAU
rnacentral:misc_RNA from 1 species